rnacentral:lncRNA from 1 species
GGUGGAGUAUUAAUAUUAUUUGGAUAGAUAAGAUAUAUAAGAUUAUUUUAGUUCUUUUAUGUUUUUAACUUUAAUAUGCAGUGGUAUGGAUAGUACAUUUCAUAUGAAAUAUAUUGAUAUAUCACAUGAGAUUGAUAUAGCCGCAAAUCUUAAUAAUAUAUUGAAGUUGUGUAUUGUGUUAUUUUUGUGGUCUACACAUAGUAUUUAUAUUGCUUGAAGGUCUAUUUUGGAUUUAUUUAUUUUA